GUCCGUGACUGAAACCUCCCCGCCCCCGCCGCCUCCUCCCCCCGCGCCGGGGGAACCUCGCACACAUGUGACCCGGGAAACCAUGACAACCUCCCGCCGGGGACUGCGGCCCGCAGCGCGCCCCCCCACCCCGCACUGCCGGGAGGAGCGGGCGGGCGGCGGGAUGCGGCGCUCCUCUCAGGCUCCGGCCCCGCCGAGGGGGUUCCGCCGUCCCUGCGGUAUUUCACCGCUCAUUGCCGUUGUGCUUUUUUUUGUGGGCCACGGACGACCAUAAAGAGAUCCCCGCAUCGCUCGUAUGCGUAGAUACGCCAUACGUUCAUAGUCACAUAACGUAGGAAGCGCAGUGUCAGAAAACGCCUCCGGUCAUCUGGCUGCCUCGAGGUCCACGAUCACCACAUCUAGAGAAAGAAACAAUUGGAAAAGACAAAAGUUCCCUUUCAGCGCUGCCUCCCUGCCCGCGCUGCGGGGUCCGCCCGGUGCGGUGAGCAGGUGCUGCCGUCGCUGCCGUGCGCUCAGGGCUGCAGGCAGUGCCCGCGGGCCCGCUUUGUCACGGAGCUCUGCGGAAUGCUGCUCGGAAGUGGAGUCCUGGGAAGGCAUGAAAACCGGUUUGUAGUCGCCUCAGCGUGUGGGGAUGACAGCAGCAUGGAAUCAUUAAGGUUGGAAAGACCACUACAGUCAUCUAGUCCAACCGUCAGCCCAUCCCCACCAUCCCGCUAACCCAUGUCCCUCAGUGCCACAUCUCCAUGUUUCUUGAGCACCUGCAGGGGCAGUGACUCCGUCACCUCCCUGGGCAGCCUGUGCCAGCGCCUCACCACUCUUGCUGAGAAGAAAUUGUUCCUAAUAUCCAACCUGAACCUCCCCUGGUGCGAUUUGUGGCUAUUUUCUCUCACCCUAUCACUGUUACCUGGGAGCAGAGACCAACUCCCACCUCGUCACAACCUCCUUUCUGGCAGUGUAGAGAACAAUAAGGUCUUUCCUGAGCCUCCUCUUCUCCAGACCAUCGCAGUUCCCUCAGCCGCUCCCCAUCAGACGUGUGUUCCAUAUCCUUCACAGCUUUGUUGCACUUCUCUGGACACGCUCCAUGGCCUCGAUGUCCCUCUUGUAGUGAGGGGCCCACAGCUGAGCACAGAAAUUUCUGUCAGCCCUGGGUUUGUGCACAAAAUGAAUCAAUGGCCCAAAGGUCCAAGCUCAGGACCACUCUGCUGUUUGGAAAUUGCUUUUACUGGACACUCGCCAUUAUUUCAGCUGCCCUGAAAUGUACUUCAAAGAGACUUGGUGAGAAAAAUAGUCAAAAAUCAAGUUUGUCUCAGCAAGGAGAUAAUGAAUGUAUCUUGAUGACGAUGUGGCUUCAGCAAGUAACAAGAAGAAAAUGUAGCAAUCUCUGUGGUGCUUUUUUUCAUUCAAGCUAUGACCUCAAAGCCAUUUUUAAUUGGAUGCAUUUCCAAAUGAAGCCACUGCUCCCUGUAGAAGCAUUUUUCCAGUUGCACCUGGUUCACAAAUUGGACAUUAUGAACUUGGCAAACCCGUACAGUGAGUGAUCUGUGUUUAGGGGUGAUACCUCUGCUCUACAGCAGGUGAAAGACACCUCUACCAACAGAGUAUAGGACACUGUUCAGCAGUGUCUUGUGGCUUGCUUUCUCUCUGUGGGAAAAGCCAGUAUGGAGCACUGAUGAACAAAAUGAAGUUCACGGCUAUUUAGCACUGCCCAGCAUGAGAGAUAUCUCCAUAACCACACUAAGUCCUGAAGACAGGCCAUGAGCACACCCUACACUGCAGAAGGCUGCUCCUUCAGCAGGCACUGGGAACGCUGCAGCUUUCUUCUGGUGGCCAGGAGCCCUGGUUUCAGCCAAAGCACAGUGCCAACAUCACAUCAAUGCUGUGGUUGCUGCUGAGCAAUGGGAGCUUCCUGGGGCCCUUUAUGCGUGUCAGCAGGAGGUGGACAGAGCCCAGACAGGUGACCUAAAUUAGGCUGAGGGUUAUUCCAUACCUAUGUGACUGUAGAUAGCUGGCUUAGGGCUGACUGCUGCAAGAUCAAUGGGAUGGAAUGGUCUUAUGUUGUUUGUGGGCUGUUAAAUUAUUAGUUGGGCAUUGGUCAGUGAGUAAUUGCACUGUGGAAAUUACAUAUGUAUAGUUGUCAUCACAUUUUUUAUUAUUCUAUUUCCUUUUAUCAAUCUUAGCUUUCCUUUUAUCAAUCAAUAGCUUUCAUCUUAGCCUACUGGCAUAUCUCAACCAUACCUGUCCCUACAAAGUACUGCCAUGGUGCCAUGUAGCCACAUACAUUGCUGUCGCAAAGAAUCAUGUGCAGCAGGAGGGCUGACACCUGUAUGUUAUGGACAGGUGCUUCUCUUGGUCAUUCUAAAAGGAGCUUUAGCUAGAAAUGCCAAACUGGCUCAUUUACAAGUCUAGCUGCUCAAAGCCCUCUAACAGUGAGCUCUCCUGUUUGUGAUCAGGUUGAGAUAUGCCUGAACUUUGAGGAAACCAGGAACUGUUGACACUUGGUCCAACUAUCCACUUGGUGUCUAUGUUCUGUGAGCAUGUAAUAUUCCAUUUACUGGAGUCUUCAGGACUGAAUGGAUUGUUAUCUCUGAGGUUUUCUCCCAGCCAGACAAGGCUGUCUGUUAAUCCAGGAUUUAUCAGCAGCACUGUCUUUCACCAUGUAGUCAAGGACUACUCAGGCUUGCUAGAGCAUCCCAUUCUCCCAGACAUCAUUAGAGUGAAAGGAGAUUCCUCCUCUGGGGACAUCCUCAGGAGCCAGUCUUUGAUGUUUGUAGGCAGAACUGGCAUUGUUUGAAUAAGAGGCUCCUAAUUAGUGGCACUCUAAAGAACUACUCUAAUUUUAUAUUUUCAAAACACCCUAAAAUGUGUCUAGGAAGGCAGCUUGAGGUUUGGUGUAUCUCAAAGAAUGGCAGUGAGCUUUGCAGUUCAAGUUGAUGUCUUCUCUUUUCCUUCCUGUUCCAAGGAACUUGCCUUGACUUCAAAUUGCUUUUAAAUCCUUGUAAGGGGAACAGCUGUCCCAGAAUGUGUUACACUCCAGCAGAGUGAACAGUUAGGAUCAGUUCACACCUCUCUGAUGAGUUUUAUUCGUUUGUACUAAUUUUCAUGUGUCAUUCAGCAGUGAGCAUCAUCUUGACAUGAAAGAAAAUAUAAAACUUCACAAAUCUUUUUGUAUUGAAAAAGGGCUGGGGACAACACUACCCUGACAACUGCCAAGAAAAUUAAAUGAGGACUCCUGUUAUCUCCUUUCCUCCUUGCCAGUAGGUGCCCUCUUCUUAACACUGCUUACCAGCUUUGUGUGCCAAUCUGUUGCUUCAUCUGCUUUGAGGUGGUGGAAAAACUAGGAGAAUACAGGUAGCAGCUGAAAAAUAGCAUGUGCUGCAUCUCCUACAUGACAGCGCUAGCCAGCAUAUUUUGGAAACAGGUUGGGACUGCUUCUGUCAGAGAUCAGAGACAGAUCAUUUCUGAGUACACAGAGGAUACUGAACAGAAUGCAGAAGGGAGGGCAGACCCUAAAGGCUUAUUUUUACCAGGGUGAAUGAAGGCUUAGUAAGUUUAAUAAACUUGAGCUAAAUAUGUCAAUCCAGCAACCUUCUUUGUGCUAGCUUUCAACCAUUUGCCUGAUAGGGGCAUCUUUCUCCAGUGCUCCCAAAGGUGUUCUCAACACCCAUCUUCUCAUUAACCCUAACCCUAGCUGAGCUCUGCAAUGCAGUACAGGGAGAGGGGCAGAAGUAUGCUUUUCUCUAGAGUGGAAAGUAAACACCCUACUGGAGUACAAUACUUUUAAAAGUCCACUUUGUCGCCUUCUUGGAGGUGAGAGAGACUAUUGUGACCAGCUGCACAGCCAGCCCUGAAAUAAGAGACCCUGAUCUCUUUAUACGUAGUAGCAUUUGUCCUACAUGGGUAAGCUAACAGCUCACAGCAGUGGUAUUCAAUGGAAAGAGUUUGUAUUGUACUGCAGAAGACACAGGACAAAAACUGGCCCUAAACCUAUUGCAGCAUAUAGAAGAAGGCUGACAUGUGGGAGUAUUUCCUGUUUGUUUGUUUGUUUGUUUAAUUUUUGCUUUGUGCUGACUUAAAUCUUUUGUCUUGACUUCUGAAAUUGUAAAUUCAGACGCACUUUGCAUUUGGCAUGAUUAAAAGCUGCUGCUGACAAGCAACUUGAAAAUGCCUUCAUGUUUUAUGUGUAUUUCAAAAUCUCUUCAGCUGUAUGCCUUUGCAGGCUCUUGAUCUAGCAAUAGCUGGUUUGUACAUUUUGAGCAACGGGUUAGUAAGAAUCACGCACUAUUUCUGAUCUUCCCAAAUACCUUUAAGAUGUCACAUAAAUUGAUCUUUUUUUUUUUCUUCUCAGUUUACAAGGCAGCUCAUGCUGCCUUGCUUGGCAAAUCUUAUUUACUGAAUUCUCUUGUUAACAGAUUUCAGUGGUAGUCAUUCAACCAUAGAUUCUUUCAGCAAUAACAAAACAUGCAGCUGUGCAGGUUCAUUCUUUUUUUUUUUCUUCAGAUUAGAAUGAUAUAUCACUACUAUUAUUGUGCCAAAUCUUUUACCAGAACAUAACCUCUUUAUCAGAAAAAUGUUCAGUUCUAUCAACAGCAUAAUAAACUGGUGUCUGUAAUUCAAGGAUCAAGUGUAAAUGCAUUCCUCAUGACUCUCCCUUGACUUGAUUCUCCAGUUCUUCUCAUACCUUUUGCUCUGGCUGCUCUUACUGUUCUUUUCUUGCUGUGGAUUUGAAGCACCUAACUCUUCCUGUGUUUAACACAUAUCCAGAGGGAGCAAGUAUCCACUUACAUACUCAGAUCUACAGCCAACUUGAAUUGAGUGGACACACCAGGCUGUGUGACUGGCAGCUUUGUGCAUUAGUGGGCAUCAGACCUGAGUUCAGCUAUUGCCGAGUCUGUGAGGGAAGGUGUGUGGCUGGAAUUGGAAACACUGGAUUUGAGAGAAGAACCUUAAUUCAAACCAGCAGGCUUUAAAGGACAAAUGUGGACAGUUCAGAGCUGUGUGCUAGAGAGCCAAGUCUUCAGUUUGUCUCAGAAUGGUUUGUUUAUAAGAACUGGCAAAUGUGCUUUUGAUUAAAGACAAACAUCCAAAUGCACUGACUUCUACAGAUUCUGGAACAGAAGGACUCUCACUCUCAUUUAUGCGUGCACACAUAAAUAUAUGUCUAUAUCUGAUAUUACUGUUUUUAUUUUGGUAGAACCUAGAGACCCCAUCACAUUAAUCAUUCUACAGAUGCAAUGUAAGUAUCUUAACAUAGUUGGCUUUCGGUAAGGUAAGACUUGCUAGUUAGUGUGGGUUUAUGGAUCUUAUUAUUCCAUCUUAAGGAUGAGAUUAUUUUUUAUAUUUUUAUCUUGAAAGAGAAAUAUUUACAUUUUUAAGUAAAAUCUGUAACUGUACCACCCUUUCAAUAUUCCAACUUUAGCCCCAAGAGUAGAAGACAGUGCCAGACAUGCAUUCCCUUGUGUUUUUUAUCGUUGAUUUUGGUAUGCUCUAUUUUUAUUCAAUUCUAUGGGAAAUGCAUACACUUUGUGCAGUUGCCAGAAUGCGAUUCCCCAAUGCCCUCUCUUUAUUUCCAAGUGUUCUUUUUUCAGAUUCAAGUCCUCUUGCGACAGCACUUUCUCUUGUUUGAUCAAGUAAUCCUUGCUCAUACUGAACCCAUUUGCUGAGGACAACACUUAUGUACGCGGAGCUGAAAGGGCAGACAUCUGAGUUAAGGAAAGUCUCCCACCCUGACAGUAAUGAAUUACCCAGCAGAGCCUUCAAGCAAAUAGGAAAAGGAAGAAAUGUGGUCUCAAGGACAGAUAGGUAGGUUGGUAGUCUUUCGUAUUUCUUCGUCCUGCCUUGAGUUAUACCUCAUAGCUCAGGUGUGUGCUUGUUCCCAGAGGUUUGAUCUACAUGGCUGCUUGAAGAGAGGGUUAUACACACUUCCC
ensembl:lncRNA